rnacentral:rRNA from 1 species
AGCGAACGCUGGCGGCAGGCCUAACACAUGCAAGUCGAACGAAGUCUUCGGGCUUAGUGGCGGACGGGUGAGUAACACGUGGGGACGUGCCUUUAGGUUCGGAAUAACUCAGGGAAACUUGUGCUAAUACCGCAUGUGCCCUUCGGGGGAAAGAUUUAUCGCCUUUAGAGCGGCCCGCGUCUGAUUGGCUAGUUGGUGAGGUAAAGGCUCACCAAGGCGUCGAUCAGUAGCUGGUCUGAGAGGAUGAUCAGCCACAUUGGGACUGAGACACGGCCCAAACUCCUACGGGAGGCAGCAGUGGGGAAUCUUGCGCAAUGGGCGAAAGCCUGACGCAGCCAUGCCGCGUGAAUGAUGAAGGUCUUAGGAUUGUAAAAUUCUUUCACCGGGGACGAUAAUGACGGUACCCGGAGAAGAAGCCCCGGCUAACUUCGUGCCAGCCGCCGCCGUAAAAC